rfam:Arabis alpina cultivar Pajares chromosome 2, whole genome shotgun sequence.
GGGGCAAGUGAUGAUAAAAAGACAGGGACAUCAGAUUCUCUUAGGAGAAAUAGAAUGAUGAGUUAUUGUCUAAAUGGGAAUCUCUCUGAUGCACU